UUUUCUUUUCUUCUUUAUUCUUCUAUUAUGUUUUUUUAUUCUUCUUUCUUAUUCUUAUUCUUAUUCUCAUCCUGUUCUUCACCUCCGGUGAAUUUUUCCGAGUUUCUGAGGCUGUGAGGUCGAGAGAUUUAGGUAGGACAUCAAGGGAUGGUUUUUGGUGAUAUUACUGUAGUUGUUUGAACCCGAGAAGAAGAAGGUUGAUUUGUUGCAGUAAAUCAAGGUUAGGGUUUCCGUUUUUGAGAUGAAAAAAAUCAAGAGCAGUUGGUGAGUCAGAUGAGAACCCUGUUGUUAUAUGACGGUGGUGUUCGAUUGAGAGUCAUUUCAAUUCAGGAACUUGAGUAACAAUUUAAUUAGGGUUUCUGAAUCUGGUUUCAAGAUUCGAUUAAAGAUGAAUUAGAAGAUGAAUUUGAUGUUUUAGGAGGAUGAUUAGAGAUGGGUAUGGAUUAAUUGAGUAGUUGCAGUUGGAAUUAAGUUUUAAUUGGUGAAGUAGUGGAUCAAUGCUCUCAUGUUCUACCCCAAAUUAAAAGUUAGGGUUUCCGGGAAUUAAAGUUAAUGAUGAAGACUGUUGUGUGUAGUUAAUUUAGGAUUUCCGUGGAAGUGGUUAGUGAAUCAAAAAAUCGAAGGAUGCUGGUAUUUUGGUAAGUUCUUAAUUGAUGAAAUUUGAAUAUCAGUGUCGAACUGUUUUACAUAAUUGGGAUUUCUGAGAUUGAAAAAUUGUGCUAGUAGUAUUUGUGGUGAUAUGAACUUGAACUGAGAUUGAGUUAAAUGUAGAUAUGUGUGUUGAUUAAUGUUGAUGAAGUAUGUUUGCAAAAGGAAGUGUUUGAAGCUGAAAUUAUAGUGAAUAAGGAAGUGUUGGUGUUCAUAGUGCAGGUAUAGAGUUGGUGUUGUUAUGGUUGGGUAGGAAAGAAGUGGAGUGGUGUACAGAAUGGGUAUUACAAGUGGUGAUGGUGAUGCAGCUUGGCUGGUUGUAUUUGAUUGAGUCUAAUGAAUUAAAAUUGCACAGAUGUGGAGUUAGAAGUACUGUUGGUGGUGAGAUGGAGAUGUGGGUGAUGAUUCUGUAGUUGUUAGUAAGUUACAGGGAUUGGUUUGCUGUUGAAUGGAGUUACAGUCGUAACUAAUGAAGAUAAUAGGGGGAGCUGCAGUCAUGUUGAAAUGCAUAUGAAUUGAAUCUGAGGUUGAUAGUAUAUGGUGCAGGGUUUGAGCUUUAAGAACUGGAAGUUGUCAAGAAUGGUAUGUGUGUGUUUGAAUUGAUAAAAUGAAGAAAGGGUUGUUAAUGGGGAUUGUUAAUUAGGGUUGUAGGAUUAGUUAGUGCUUUCAGUGCAGGCUUGCCACUGCUAUUGCAGUUUCAGAGACAGAUCAGAGUUGCGCAGCGAAAGCUUCGAGACGUUGAGUCUGUUAGUUGAUUAACUUUUGCUAUGUUUAUUAUGUUGUAUAUUCUAUUGUAAACCAAAUGACUAUUUUAUAUGUAUCAUGUGAGAGGAGUUCCUGUAUAUAUUUUUCAGAACGGGGCUAGUUCUUGGGUUAAGUUUUUGUAGCAGAUUUCUUAAUUGUAUGUUUAA